UCCCUGGAGGACUAGUGGUUAGGCCACAGCGCUCUCACCGCUGCAGCCUGGGUUGGAUUCCUGGCCAGGGGA
rnacentral:tRNA from 1 species